GGGAGUUUGGUCUAGUGGUAUGAUUCUCGCUUCGGGUGCGAGAGGCCGCGGGUUCGAUUCCGCAACUCCCC
rnacentral:tRNA from 1 species